GCAUCAUUUCAGUUCGGCUAAUGUAAACACUCAUCACCCUGCGCGUUGCAGGAUUCUUCACUGUGAUUUGAGAUUGGGCUUCGCUCGGUGGGUCAUUGUGGUGAUUAAUGGUUUCAGAAGGAAAUGGGGCAGGAAGAGGCUUUGCAGAAAUGGAAGAGAUAACAGGCCUGAUUCACGAUGCUAAUGAGGAGUACAGCAGGAAUUUGUGCCCGGGUUUGUCAGACUCUGAAGACUUUGUUUCUUCCGGGGCCAGAGCAGGCCCUUAGCUGUCCCUGAGCUGCAGAACUACCUACUUCCCAGGCAGGCGGGGGCCGGCUCGUAGGCAGAGAGCAUGGGGAAGACUCUGGCCCACACCUGAUGUUUCUGCCUCCAGCUCCCCCUGCCCCCCAUCGUGCUUAGUCAUGGUUUGUUUUUCUCAUCCCUCUACUGUUUUCCUCGGGAAAUGUUUUAUGUAGAAGUACUGGAAUACACGUUUUCACAAAACAUUAAGCUUUGCGUAUGUGCUGACCUAUUAACUAUACAGACAAGCGUUCCUCAAAAGAGGAUGCUUUUCUUCUUUUAAUGAGCUGCAAGGAACAUCCUGAAUUUGA
rnacentral:lncRNA from 1 species